UACAGAGGUCUCAAGCGUUGUUCGGAUUCAUUGGGCGUAAAGGGUGCGUAGGUGGCGGGGUUAGUCAGGUGUGAAAUCUCGGGGCUCAACCCCGAAACUGCACUUGAUACUGCCUUGCUAGAGUACUGGAGAGGAGAUUGGAAUUUACGGUGUAGCAGUGAAAUGCGUAGAUAUCGUAAGGAAGACCAGUGGCGAAGGCGGGUCUCGUGGGCAGUAACUGACGCUGAGGAGCGAAAGCGUGGGGAGCGAACAGG
rnacentral:rRNA from 1 species